rnacentral:lncRNA from 1 species
AUGCUUGGAUGCUGUAAAACCAGCGUAGCAACCUGCUCUCACCAAGGCAUGGGGGAAAUUCCUGGACUUGGCCUGGAGCAGGAGGAAGUGGGUAGUCCACUGUCAAUGGCUUUAACAAGAGUUAAAACUGUAAAAAGCUCUAUUGCAAAUGGGCUAAUCAUGCAAAAUCCCUCCAAACAUGUCAUGAACCACAUGGUUUGUGGAACCUAUUCUAAUCUGUGCCAGGAAAUUACCGAGAUCCUGCUAGUGGAAGCAGGGAUCCAGGCAUUUCUGAGAUAAGGACUACCAUGGCUGUCAUGAUACUUUUCUCUUACUCUCUGGCCUGAUGUAGUUGCUGAAGUCCUCACAGACAGUAUUACAGUUUCUUAUGUGCCUUGUGUCAGCAGCAGAGACUGGAGCUUGCAGUGGAUAAGAGGAGAGCUCUGGCUCAGCCCUCUGCUCUCCGAGUUGUUAAUCCAACUGUUGCAAACCUCAGUAUGAACUGCUUCUCCUCAGCCUUUUACUUCCCUUCUGCUUGAGAAAAUUUCUUUGGCUGUUAAUUUAUUCAGAAGUUCCCUGGUGACCUUUCCAUUGGUUACUUUCGGAAGAAGUGGGCUGUUGUUGCUCUGGCAACUGGAACCAAAAAACAAUGCUCCAAUCAGAAGGCUUUGGGGGAAGAUUUUUGUGCUGGAGACAUUGCUGCAGGUGGGGUUGAAUUUUUGUGAAUUCUUGGACUCUGCAAAGAAACACUGGCAGGGCUUAUAAACAAAUAGUGGAUUGCUAACUCCUUGGAGCAGACACUAUGUACUUCAGGUACUCCAUAGGUCUGGGAGCUGCCUAGACAAUGGGCCUCAAUACUUAUUGAAAUCUCUGGUCACUACUGGAAUAUUAACUAUUAUUACACUCUUAUUUAUAACACUCCCAUGUGAGGUUACAGGGGGAUAAAUAAGACAAUUUAACGUAAUGAGUUUUCAUCACUGACAAUUUUGGUGCGCCUCACAGAGGGAAGAUUUUCUAAUAGAAAAGCUGCUUCAACAUAUUUCAUUCUCUAGAAUAGAGCGCAAUGCUCAUCCGAUAUCAGUGGGCAUGAGUUAUACUAUUACUGCUACUUUUGGUUUCUGCUAAUAUAACCCACACAAGGAGUGCGUGGUCUUUAAUCCCUUUCGGUGGCUGAUCCAUGUGAGACUAAUGAGCUUUCUAGAGGUGUUAGUUAGGGGACUUAGUCCUCUAGCUCAAACGAUACUGGCUCAUGCUUGUAGGCCUUGGGUUCAAAUCUAAUUUUUGGCUCAGGGCAGGUCAU